AUUGAACGCUGGCGGCAGGCCUAACACAUGCAAGUCGAACGGUAACAGGAAGCAGCUUGCUGCUUUGCUGACGAGUGGCGGACGGGUGAGUAACACGUGGGUAACCUGCCUAUCAGAGGGGGAUAACACUUGGAAACAGGUGCUAAUACCGCAUAACGUCGCAAGACCAAAGAGGGGGACCUUCGGGCCUCUUGCCAUCGGAUGUGCCCAGAUGGGAUUAGCUAGUAGGUGGGGUAAAGGCUCACCUAGGCGACGAUCCCUAGCUGGUCUGAGAGGAUGACCAGCCACACUGGAACUGAGACACGGUCCAGACUCCUACGGGAGGCAGCAGUGGGGAAUAUUGCACAAUGGGCGCAAGCCUGAUGCAGCCAUGCCGCGUGUAUGAAGAAGGCCUUCGGGUUGUAAAGUACUUUCAGCGGGGAGGAAGGGAGUAAAGUUAAUACCUUUGCUCAUUGACGUUACCCGCAGAAGAAGCACCGGCUAACUCCGUGCCAGCAGCCGCCGUAAGAC
rnacentral:rRNA from 1 species